GAGCAUCCGGUCGGGAAGGAUUAGUGUGAGCAUAUGGGUUUUGGGUAGGGUAGGGAAAUAGUGUAAGCAGGGGUACUACGGGAAUAAAAAAAUUAUAUCUCUCACUUGACUAGUUUAACUAAUAGAAUAUAAUGAAAAGGUUGGACAGUGUGACUUAUGAGGUGAUGGAAGUAAAUCACAGGGAUUAACUAAUUGAUUUUUCAAAAUACAUGACAUUACCUGGGGAUUAAAUAUUAAUUAUCCCAAGAAAUUACAAUAUGGAUGCUAUGUCAUUGUUGUGCUAAACUAUUUUUAUUUUUAUUUUCUACUUUGUUAUAGAAG
rnacentral:misc_RNA from 1 species